GGCCGCCGCUGGCGCUCAAGCAUGGCGGCGGCGGCGUUGGGCAGCUCCUCAGGCUCGGAGUCCCCGGCCGUGGCCGAGCUCUGCCAGAACACCCCGGAGACCUUUCUGGAGGCCUCCAAGCUGCUGCUCACCUAUGCUGACAACAUCCUCAGAAACCCUAAUGAUGAAAAAUAUAGAUCUAUCCGGAUUGGAAAUACAGCCUUUUCUACUAGACUCUUGCCUGUCAGAGGAGCUGUUGAAUGUUUAUUUGAAAUGGGCUUUGAAGAGGUAAGUAUGUUCAAGGAUUUCCUCUCCCCUCUUCACGCACAAAGCAGUCAUAUCACGUUGGUGAAUAAUUAUUUGAAUAAGAUAAUGUUUUUUAAUUUAUCAUUUUGGGAAUCAGUAGACGUAGUUAUUUCUUCACUGAUUGGACAUUUAAAAAUCACAGCAAGUAUAGUUUAAAAUUUCAGUAAAAUAUAACAACGCUCCACAGAGAAGUUCUUACGAGUCUCAAUUCUUUAGAAUAAGGGUCAAACAUGCAACCCAAGGACCAAAUGUGGUUCACUUUAGGCUUUUAGCUAAAACCUGGUUUGUGAGCA
rnacentral:sRNA from 1 species